UCGGGAAUUUUGGGCAAUGGGCGAAAGCCUGACCCAGCAACGCCGCGUGAAGGAUGAAGUAUUUCGGUAUGUAAACUUCGAAAGAAUAGGAAGAAUAAAUGACGGUACUAUUUAUAAGGUCCGGCUAACUACGUGCCAGCAGCCGCGGUAAUACGUAGGGACCAAGCGUUGUUCGGAUUUACUGGGCGUAAAGGGCGCGUAGGCGGCAAUUCAAGUCAUCUGUGAAAUCUCCGGGCUUAACUCGGAACGGUCAGAUGAUACUGCUGUGCUAGAGUGCAGAAGGGGCAAUCGGAAUUCUUGGUGUAGCGGUGAAAUGCGUAGAUAUCAAGAGGAACACCUGAGGCGAAGGCGGGUUGCUGGGCUGAUACUGACGCUGAGGCGCGAAAGCUAGGGUAGCAAACGGGAUUAGAUACCCACGUAGUCCCUGAGCGGGCUGGCAAGGCGCAU
rnacentral:rRNA from 1 species